UUUUAUGAUAUUUGAUAUUGGUAUUUGAUAUUUUAUUUCAAAGUAAUUGUGGUCAAUAUGUAAAAAUAGGCUAUAAGUGUAUCAGUAUAACACAGAGGAGCUCAAACUGUUUCAGCCUGUGGGCUACUUUUAAUAUGAGCAUGUUCCAAAGGUCUCCCUCUACCUAGUUGUGUACGUAAACUGUGUAGUAUGUCAGUGAAAAUAGCUACGUAGCGUCGAUUAUACGCACACUUCAUGUAUUACGUCCAGUUAGCAUUUGCUAGCAAACAUUACAAAUACUGUACACGAGAAAUGAAAAGGGUUAUGCACAAGACAAUGCAGCCGACGUCAUGACGACAUAUUUAAAAGCUUUCAGCAAUGGACACAUUUUCCAAUUCAUCGUGAAAUAGUCGUUUGACGGACGAACUUGGAGAAAACACAUUUCUGAAGCACAAGAGCGAAUCAGGAGGGGGCUUAAUGUCAGCUGACUGAUGUCAUAUGACACAUACAAAGUGACGGUUAUGAUGGAGGUGACACACGACCAACGCUACCUUUGCAAUCGCCGUAAUGGGCACCCCCGAUGCAGCAUAUACUGUAUGUCCAUUCAUACAGUGUAUUACUUAACAUGUUUUUACGUUAAUAAAAUAAAAUUCCAAGGUGUGGCGGCUUUUAUUGUACCGUGGCGUUGUGCCACGAUCCAUUACAUGUGGCGGAAACCCUGCAGUUGUCAUAAAAGUUAUCUACGACAGUCAGGAUUGUUACGACAAAAAAUGUUCACAACGGCCACAGUUUCACCCUGGAACGGAUUAUUGACUGUGGAAAAAAUGACAUUGCUAUUUUGAGUUAACCCGCAUGUCUUUUUUUUUUUUUUUUUAAACUUAUCCUCUUUGCUCUUCCUCCCAGUGAGCUCCUCCUAAAGCCCCAGUAAUCGUCCUCGUCCCGAGACCCCCCACCUCCUGAUCCACCUUAACAGGUGACUGACCCCUGCUAAAACCAUUAACACAGGCAGCUAGUGAGACGCCUACGACACGUGCCCACUCUCACAGGCUGAAACAGAACAGGGACUAUGUGUUUUUCCCAGAGACGUUGAAGGUGAAAGUAGGAUGACUCACCCUGGUCCAUCCUUGUGAGGCCUUCGUAAGAACAAAGGAAACAAUAAGUUAGCUGCUCUGUACGGUGAUCGGUGGUAAACAUCCACUAUAUGGGAUUAGGUUAAAGCACGCGAGAGAAACUGACCUGAAGUCCAUCACAGACACGCUCUUAAACCCAGGAAGUCCCGCCAGGGCAUCCUCAAUCUGCAGACACACACUCCAUGACUCAUUCAGUACCAUUAUUACCAUAAAAGGGAGCCAUUUAAGACGCCUGAGAGCCAAAGCAAGAGUCAAAAUGCAUAUUUAAGCAAAUGUACACAUACUUAAAGUAAGCAUUUUCACACAUAAGAGUGGCUAAAUGAACUAAAAUACAAAUACAGUAUAAGCCAUGAAGACCACCAACUUGUGAAUGUAGUACUCUACAUUGGUCACUAGGUGUCAGUAAUCAUUCGGUGAGACCACCACCGAAGCGCCAGACUUGAACAACCGGCUUUUAUUGCAGAUUUUAAUUAUUUCACAACCGGGACAAUAAUAAUAAUCAUAAUACUAACACGAGUUACUGUUGCUACCGUAGCCCACAACAAGCUAAAUCUCAACGCUGAACUGCUGACGUGUGUUUGACUGGCUAAGGAGUGGGAAUGUGUCAUUGCCAUUGCUAGGUGUUAGCACGAGCCUCUUUCCUGGCAGGCUUGUGUGCGCUGGCAGUGUUCAUAACGGAAUACUAACAGCAACAAAAAAGAGCAAAGUGAUGGAACCUUCUGUGCCAGCUGCCUGCUGAGCGCCUGGUAGUGUAGCGAGUCGGGGUCAUCCAGGUCGUGGUCGUACAUGACGCCUGUCAGGAGGAUGCUCAGCUCUACCACCUGCUCCAACACGGCUGGCGCCAGAGGCUCCACGGGAAUGUCGUUGUCCAGCUGUGGCGGCAAGUCAGCAGGAAAGUCACCUUUGGAAGGAGCCGUGGAAGCGUUGGUCGUAUCCGGAGCUGCAGUGCUGGGAAUACAACAGAAAUGGAAAAGCAGCAAGAGGAUCUAUUUAGUUCAAGGGGACUUCCAAGGGGACACACAAUGGAGGUGCUGGAUGGAAGGAUGGCUGCUGGACCGUCUAAAGAGCUUAUCCGACUGCUGUUUGUCCACCUGGAUCAGCCUGCUGGGCAUUUUGCCUGGUGCUCCUCUGAUUGGCUGAAGUAGGUGCCAAUGUCUUGUGCUGUGACCUCCCCCUCCUGGCAUUGGUUCAUCCAGCUCUGAUACUCCUCUUGGUCAGGGAGGCGGUCCCAGAAGAUUUUGAAAGCCUCCCACACGGUCUCCUGGCACACUGAAGCAUAAAAGUCAAUGGUUGGUUGCUAGUUAGUUCAUGCUGUUUUUAAACACCUGCUGCAAAAAUCCUCUCCAUGACAGGAGCGCCCAAGCUUUUUAAGGACAUACGACAAAAAACAGCACUGAUAAAUCCUCUGUUUUUGGAAAUCGACUGCAAAAGCACUAGUCAAAGAUAAGUUUGACCUCAACUUGAAGGCCGGUCUCAUGUCAUUUAAAGACCAGAUUUGGCCCUCGGGCCACCGUUUUAUCUGAUCGAUAGAGUACUGUAAUGAUGACAAACAACUGACCUCUAAGAUGGAAGAAGCUGAGAUGGUUGGCGACGGCCUGCUUGGCGGUCUCCUGUGCACACAGCUUGACUCCACUCGGGAAAAGGAUGCUGCGUUUGCGUCGGGACAGCGCCACGCGGCUUCCUCGGGACACCUUGACGUCGGAUAUGCGGACCACCCGCUGGAACGGUGCCGGUUCCCCGCUGUAAGGCAGAUCUAGCGGACCCAUUGAGGAUCCUUCUGGUGUUGCAUCUGGUAGGAUUGCAGAAAAAACUUCAGACUUGGAUGAAAAUCCUAAGAUGUUUUUGGGGUAAAGAUGUACAUACCUGUCCUUAGGUCCAAAAACAGGACUACAAAGCUAAAGAAGACAGAGUACAAAAGACAUCUCCACGACAACAUUUUAAAUCCUUGUUUAGAUCCUCAAACUUCCUCUCAGAUGUUGCAAUGGCACCUCCCAAGUUUGCAUAGUUCACAGCCUUCCAGGUGCAGGAGAACGACGAAGAACCCUGAAACGGAACAACUGCUUGUUCUUUUCCCUGCAAAGACGGAGUCUCUCCUGUGGCAUGUUGCUGAGAAGACACCUUCCUGGCUCAAGCUAAGUGGGCAGAUGGCUCCUAGGUGGAUUUUUGAACGCACUAAUCCCGUUUAGCCUUAAAGCCUUUUAGAGGAGCUCGCCAAGAAGUUACUGGAGCAGCAAGGGAGAAGAGAAGGUGCUUAGUGAUGGAGGGAACGUGGACAAAAACUCAGUCCAGGGAAGGUUGUGCACUGCUUUGUUGGACUCACCCUACUUACCUUCUAUUGAUGGCCUUCCAUGCCAAAGUGUUCCAGAAGGUUCACUGCUUGGUGGAGGGAUGGUUAGCACUUCAGCAAGAAGGCAAAACUGAAAAACCAACUGUUGCAUGUGUAAACCUCUGAACAGAUCGAAAUGGCCAACACUGUGAUGUGACAACUAGCAAUGAACUACUACUAAAGAAUAAACAACUAAUAAAACAGGUUUAUUACACUAAACUUGCAAAAUGACAGUAGCUAUAUUUAGGUGUUAAAAAUGGCAAAACCAACAAGAGGUGAUGACUAUUUGGGCCACACCAGAGAGAAAAAAAAGAAGCUUGAAGUCACAAUUGAGAAUAUCCCCAUCCUACAGUAACUUACUGGCUCCCGGUCAAGCAGAGAAUAGACUACAAACUCCUCCUACAUACCUUCAAGGUCAUACACAACCUCAGCCCUCCGUACCUGACUGACCUCCACAUUGCCACUCCAGCUCCGUCCCUCAGAUCCUCCUCCUCCUCCAUUCACCUCACUGUGCCCUCUGCCUGCCUCAGCACCAUGGGGAGCAGAGCUCUCGGCCGCUCUGCUCCCCAACUCUGGAAGUCAGUGCCAACUGACAUCAGAAAUAUUGACUCACUCCCCAUCUUCAUAUCCAGACUCAAAACUCAUCUGUUCAAGACUAAAUACUCACUUUGACUCGUUCAUGCUUUUAUCCUUUGUUGUUUUAUCUGGAUCAUGUGUGGUGCCCUUGGGGUUUUAGAAAGGUUCUUAUAAAUUCAAUAUAUUAUUAUUAUUAUUAUUAUUAUGAUUCCAUCGGGGGUUCAGAAUUGGUUUUCUCAUGUUUAUAGUAUGUUAUAGUAUGUUACUAUUAUUGUGCCUGUUGUGAGAUAAUUUAGAUUAAUUUAAAAUACUACAUUCAUAAAUUGAACAAGUGUUCUUAAUCGUUUAGGUAUAUUUGUAUUUUGGUUCAUUUAGCCAUUUUUAAUUUAGCUUAAUUUGGGCAAAAAAUAUGUACAAUAUGCAUAUUUUUUCAGUAACAAUAGGCCGUAUUCAACCACAGAACAGCAUAAUUAAUUGAUUUAUGUUUGAGAAAACACGAUAGAGUGAAGCCGUGAAAUUAGAACCCCGAUGUGGCGAGGGACGUUGUGUUUUAGGUAAACCAAGAUAUUCACACACAUCAGCUUGGACUUUGGAAAACUGAUCAACAUUUUUGCCUCUUUUCUGAUAUGUUGCGGACCUGUUGGAUCAUACUGAUUAGGUCCAUCUAGGGCGUAAGCAACUACUACAGCAAGUUUCCGAUUGACUAUGAAAAUAAUCGUUAGUUGCAGCUCUAGUAUUAUGUAAAUCAAUUAUGGAAUUGCUUGUUUUCAUUAUUCUGGAUAUGUAUGCAAUUAUGUCACAAUAUUAGGGACACUCCGAUCGAUCGGCCACUGCUACUGAGAAAUGCCUUUCUCUGCCGAUCACGAAAAACAAUCACCUGUGGCUCGCACUAUUGCAUCCUGUAGCCAUCCCUGUGUGCAGUGUAGUGUCCCCCUCACCCUCGCCUUCCACACUGCAGACAUACGCUGGCAAACACGCCUGCUGUGUUGAACAUACAGUAUAUGCCAUCCUGCAACACAUGCCACAAAAAAUAUGUUGCUGGGGUUGCGUGUUUAAAAGCUUCAAUUUAAUAUGGCAUUUGAAGAAGAAACACUCGAUGGGAGUAUGGUCACAGGGCAGCAAGUCAAACGGGAGUUCACGUUGUGGUUGUGCGUGACAGUCAGAAGGCUAAGCAAAUCACCCGAAAAAUCAUUGAAUUAAUUGGACUCGAUAACCAGCCUUCCUCAGCGGUCAAAGACACCGGGGUUCUGCCAACUGGUCUCGUAGGUAAAAUAUGUUGUCUAAAUUAAGGUGAUCCUAUGGUUCCUUCUUUCAGAUCGUGUAACCAAUAGAAGGGGUGCAGCCAGGAAUUCUUUUUCAUUCUUGCGUAGGAACCCUGCUAGUUGUUAAGUAAAGCUAAUAUUAUAUUUGAAUCUUGCAACAUGACGACUUUUUUCUCGUAAUAUUAUGAUUUUAUUUGCGUAUAUUGCAAAUUUCCUCCUAAUAUUUCCCUUUUAUUCUCAUAACUCACGACUUUUUAACAAACGUUAUUCUCACAACUUGAAGACACCUGUGACCCUAAGACCCAAAUACUAAUACAAGUUGGCCGAAUGAAUGGAAAAUGACUGAAAUAAAAUGAUUUCGAGAUAAAACAGCUUUAUGUUACACAAACUACAUUUGGAACAUGUUACACCUUGAACACACUUUAGUUUGACGUGGUGAUCGCAUGUAGAAAUUAAAUAUCUAUAAAAAAUAACAGUAAAACAUCCUAUAAAAAGCUUGAGGACCGAGAGGCUCCACUGUUCAUGAAGACGAGUCCACAGUUCAAGGAGAUGAGUCCAUAGUUCAGUUUGGUGGAGUUCAUGCUGAAAUGCGUCGCUCAGUAUGAGCGAGGAUUCCCUUGUGCUACGACUCCUGCUCUUACUUUUUGCUCAGGCUCUGCUGUCGGUAGAGUCGCAGCACCAGAUUGCGGAUUUCGUCUCGUUUACCGCGCACGUGAUGACGCGGAAACCAGCGCUGCAGGUGUAAUGGCAGGUCAAAGUGCACCACGGGGUCCUACAGGCACAAGAAACACACAAUUUAAUACACAAAUUUGAUUUAGCACGAGUUUCAUCUCUUAAUAUUUAAACUUUUUUCUUGUAAUAUUUCAACUACAUUUGUGAAAUUACGUGUUGAUUCUUGCAAACUGACAUUUGUUCCUCAAGCAUCAUCACAAAUGUUUUGUUGUCUCACUCCCCCUUCUUGCUUUUCCAUAUUGUAGCUCUACUUAAAACCUCAUUAAGAUCCAAAUGUGCAAAAUACUUUCUGCUUCUUUCUGCUUUAGUUUUCCAAUUUUGCUGUUUCUUAAAAAUGUUUUUUCUGCAACAAGCCAUGUUCCACAGAUGGUCCCUUUUAACUUUUGACUUUAUUAGUCGCUAAGUGACCAUUUUAUUCUGGUAAAAGUAACUUGUCUCUUGUAAUAUGACUUAAUUCAUGCAAAAUGACUUUAUUUUUGCAUGACGUGUUUGUUCUCAGGCCGCACGGUGGCCGAGUGGUUAGCAUGUUGGCCACACAGUCAGGAGAGGUUCAAAUGUCAGUUGGGCAUUUCUGUGUGGAGUUUGCAUGUUCUCCCCGUGCGUGUGUGGGUUUCCUCCCACAUUCCAAAAACAUGCAUGUUAGCUUCAUUGGAGCAAUUAGCUAAAUUGUCCAUAGGUAUGAAUGUGAGUGUGAAUGGUUGUUUGUCUAUAUGUGCCCUGCCAUUGGCUGGCCACCAGUCCAGGUUGGACCCCGCCUCUCGCCCCAAGUCAAGUAGGAUAGGCUCCAGCAUACCUGUGACCCUAGUGAGGAUAAGCGGCAUAGAAGAUGGAUGGAUGGAUGUUUAUUCUCACAAAUGACCACUUUUCUUGUAGUAUCACAACUUUAUUCUAACAAAAUGACAACUUUAGUCUUGGAAUGUUUUGACUAUCCGUGGGAAAUUACAACUUUUUUCCACUGGUUUUCUUUUUGUAAUAUUUUAACCUAAUUCUCAAAUAUAUAUUUUGUUUUGUAAUAUUACAACUUUAUUCUUGCAAAAUUGUAAAUCUAUUUUCGUAAAUGUAUAACUUAAUUCCUGCAAAACCACAAACUUUUCCCUGCGAUAUUAUGACCUUUUUGGUGACCCAUGACAAAAAAUGACAUAAUUGCAUAGCCUACCUUGAGAAAACUCUCCACAUACUGCAGCAAGU